rnacentral:ncRNA from 1 species
AUAGCUGCUUUGAUGGGAAUGAGUAGUGCUUCUGUCUCUGUUUCAGAAAGCCGGCGGGUGCUGUGAGCCGGUGCAUGCAGAAGGAUGAAUUACCUCCCGGAGCUUCUGUUGUGAAUCUGCUUAUGCAGUAGUAGCAAUGGACGGUUGAACCGUUAUCAGGAAAAGAGCGGAGGACAGCUGUGUCCUCAAUUUGGGUGGUACCGCGCUGUCAAGCGUCCCUGCA